AUGAGUGUUGUUGGAAAGUUCUUGAGCCCUUCUUCGUCUCAGCUCUUUCUUUCCUCUCGGCUCUUUUCUUCCCUCUCGAUCGAUCAUAGCUUCUUCUCUGGCCAUUCUUGUCAUCAAGUGAUUCUUCUCAUCGAUCAUAGUCAUUCCCCUUCAUCAUCUGGAACCAUCAUCUUCGUUCGUCGAUCCAUCAUCUUCGUCGAUCAAACCCUAGGAGUCCCUGCCUCCAAUCGUGGUCUUCCAAGGUGUCGUUGUCGCUGUGUGGUACCCGUGUUCUCCCCCAACAUUUUUCAUUUCGCGAAUUUCGUACGAGACUGAAGAAGCAAUUCCUAAAGACAUUGAACCCUAGGUAUUGUUGUCGAAGCAUUGUCAUUUUUCCUCCGUGUCUAUGACCACCGUCUCACCACUGCAUCUUCAAACUAAUCUCCUUCAUCUCUCCAUUGUGUGUCGUUUGAUGUUGUGUGGCGUUCGGUGACGGAGUUCGUCAGAGACGGUGACGGAGUUCGUCAGAGACGGUGACGAAGUUUGUUGUUGUUAUUGGUUAAGGUGACGCUCACUGGGUCCUAGUAAGUAGCCUCUUUGUUCGUUCAAAUGCUAGGAGUCCCUAGCCCGACAUUGCAAAAACUCGUGAACCCUAAUCCCUCUUUUGUUUCUUUCAUUGGCACAUAAUGCUUUAUGGUUCGGUUCGGAAGUUCGAUUGAGGCGAUUAUAUUGAUGUUUAAGAAGAUUCGAAGUGGUAUAAGGAGCUGAAUCUUACCAAACCUGGUGACGCAAUCCUUCCAUAAGGAAUGAAUUCAAUGUAACAACCAAAGAAGUUCUUAGUCAAGCAGAUUUCAGGGAGAAGAGCACUGUCAGGAGAAGAGCACUGUCAGGAGAAGAGCACUGUUAGGAGAAGAGCACUGUUAGGAGAAGAGCACGGUGGAGAGAAUGAGAAGUGUUACUCAGCAAAAGUUUUCGAACUUGGCUUCACAUUUUUACAACAAUGGCAGGAACUACCACAAGGCCUUUGCAAUCAAAUGCAACAUCAUCAACAUCCUCAAGACUUUUCUAUUCACUUGGUAAAUCUUCUACUCAGCAACACAAGAAUUGAAGAUUCUUUAUUUGGGGUUUAGAGCCAUCGCCUUGAUGAUAAAUGGCUAGUUAGUGGUACUGGUGGAACAAUUCUUAGAUAGUUUUUCAUAGAUAACCAAUUGUAUAAAUAGUUUAAUUUACUAUUAUGUUUACCAUUUUAUGAAUUGUACUACUUAUUUAUGAAUAUAUUUGACUUUUAAAUGUGAAAUGCUUGA